UACAGAGGUCUCAAGCGUUGUUCGGAUUCAUUGGGCGUAAAGGGUGCGUAGGUGGCGCCGUAAGUGGGGUGUGAAAUUUCGGAGCUUAACUCCGAAACUGCAUUCCAUACUGCGGUGCUUGAGGACUGGAGAGGAGACUGGAAUUUACGGUGUAGCAGUGAAAUGCGUAGAGAUCGUAAGGAAGACCAGUGGCGAAGGCGGGUUUCUGGACAGUUCCUGACACUGAGGCACGAAGGCCAGGGGAGCAAACGGG
rnacentral:rRNA from 1 species